ensembl:snRNA U6 U6 spliceosomal RNA
GUGCUCACUUCAGAAGCACAUAUGCUAAACACUGGAACAACAGGCGAAGACUAGCAUAGCUCCUUCACAAACAUGACAUGCAAAUUUAUGAGGUAUCCCGUGUUUGG